rnacentral:rRNA from 1 species
GAUGAACGCUGACAGAAUGCUUAACACAUCAGCAACUGAUUGGUGUCGGACGGGUGAGUAACGCGUAAAGAACUUACCUCACAGUUAGGGACCACAUUUGGAAACGCAUGCUAAUACCUAAUACUGUGAGAGAGCUUUGCGUCCCAUUAGCUAGUUGGAGAGGUACCGGCUCACCAAGGCGAUGAUGGGUAGCCGGCCUGCGAGGGUGAUCGGCCACAAGGGGACUGAGACACGGCCCUUACGCCUACGGGGGGAAGCAGUGGAGAAUAUUGGACAAUGGACCAAAGUCUGAUCCAGCAAUUGUGUGUGCACGAUGAAGUUUUCGGAAUGUAAAGUGCUGUCAGUUGGGAAGCGGUACCAACAGAAGAAGUGACGGCUAACUACGUGCCAGCCGCCGCGGUAAUAC